UUGAGGGGGGGCUGCUCCUAGUACGAGAGGACCGGAGUGGACGCAUCACUGGUGUUCGGGUUGUCAUGCCAAUGGCACUGCCCGGUAGCUAAAUGCGGAAGAGAUAAGUGCUGAAAGCAUCUAAGCACGAAACUUGCCCCGAGAUGAGUUCUCCCUGAGACUUUAAGUCUCCUGAAGGAACGUUGAAGACGACGACGUUGAUAGGCCGGGUGUGUAAGCGCAGCGAUGCGUUGAGCUAACCGGUACUAAUGAACCGUGAGGCUUAACCUUACAACGCCGAAG
rnacentral:rRNA from 1 species